rnacentral:rRNA from 1 species
AAGUGGAGCAAUCCAUGAGUAAAGAGGCGACCGGGUGAGUAACACGUGACUAACCUACCUUCGAGUGGGGGAUAACCUCGGGAAACCGAGGCUAAUACCGCAUAACAUCGCAAGAUCAAAGCAGCAAUGCGCUGGAAGAGGGGGUCGCGGCUGAUUAGCUAGUUGGCGGGGUAACGGCCCACCAAGGCGAAGAUCGGUAUCCGGCCUGAGAGGGCGCACGGACACACUGGAACUGAAACACGGUCCAGACUCCUACGGGAGGCAGCAGUGGGGAAUUUUGCGCAAUGGGGGAAACCCUGACGCAGCAACGCCGCGUGGAGGAUGAAGCCCCUUGGG